rnacentral:rRNA from 1 species
AGAGUUUGAUCCUGGCUCAGGACGAACGCUGGCGGCGUGGAUUAGGCAUGCAAGUCGCGCGACGGUACUCCUUUGGGAGUAUACGGAGCGGCGAACGGGUGAGUAACACGUGAGGAACCUGUCCCUACUUUCCGGAUAAUUGGGAGAAAUCCCUUGUAAUACGGGCGAGGGUCUUUGAUGGGCAUCCAUUAAAGAAGGAAGGCGCAAGCCGAGCAGGGAGGGCCUCGCGGCCUAUCAGUUAGUUGGUGGGGUAACGGCCUACCAAGACGACGACGGGUAGCUGGUCUGAGAGGAUGGUCAGCCACAUUGGAACUGAGACACUGUCCAGACUCCUACGGGAGGCUGCAGUCGAGAAUCUUGGGCAAUGCACGAAAGUGUGACCCAGCGACGCCGCGUGGAGGAUGAAGGCGCUCUGCGUUGUAAACUCCUUUUAGGGGAGAAGAAUGAGGCUUAUGCCUUUUGACGGUAUCCCCUGAAUAAGCCACGGCUAACUACGUGCCAGCAGCCGCGGUAAUACGUAGGUGGCAAGCGUUGUCCGGAUUUACUGGGCGUAAAGCGUAUGCAGGCGGACUUUUUAAGUAGGAAGUGAAAGGUUGGAGCUCAACUCUAACACUGCUCCCUAUACUGGAAGUCUUGAGUGCCGGAGAGGAAGACGGAACUGCACGUGUAGCGGUGAAAUGCGUUGAGAUGUGCAGGAACACCAAUGGCGAAAGCAGUCUUCUGGACGGAUACUGACGCUGAGAUACGAAAGCCAAGGGAGCGAACAGGAUUAGAUACCCUAGUAGUCC